rnacentral:lncRNA from 1 species
CCAUUUAAAAGCAAUUUUCACUAACAAUUCUUUAGUUGCAAGACACGUAAACUUUCUCCUAUAGAUUUAACAUGACAUCUAUCUUGACAAUUUCAUAUUAAAUUAAUAGUAAUAAUUAGUAGUAGUAACUUGUAACUACUACUACUUAGCCUUCUUCUUUCUCUAACACUACCUUCUCUCUCUCUCUCACAGCUAGAACCACCAUCAAAUUUACCUCCAACAACCAUUGUUAAAACCAUUGCAGAUUGUAAUGGAGAUAUUCAUCUUCAGUCUCCACCGUGUUUUCGUCAUUUUCACAUACUAAAUAUCUCUUUCUUUUUAUUAUAUUCUAAAGAAACUAAAGAACAUCUCUCAUUUUCAAAAGUCCAUAUCUCUCUCUACUCUUCCGGUGAAAACUCCUCCGUACUGUGCCUAUACCAUCAAUAUUCGUCUCUUUCACUAGAGAACCACCACUGGUUUAUAUAUCUGUUCUUUAAAACUGUGAAACCCAAAGUUCUUCUUCUCACUUAUGUUGUUAUUUUUGUAUAACAUUCAACACAAAAUUUAUAUAUACAAUAUUUCUUCUUCUUUCUUUUGAUUCAUAGAUCUCUCUAAAACACCAAGUUAUUUUGUCAUACCCGACGAAAUCCGUCCGGUCUAACCGCCACCCGAUCUGUCCGCCACCCGACAAAACCGUACAAGUAAUCGGUCGGUGAUGGGUGAGAUUUUUGCUUCAAUGGUUAUUGUCGGUUUUGGAUUUUACGGCCCGAACCCGGCCGUAACCGACCGAUNNNNNNNNNNNNNNNNNNNNCCUAGCCCUCACACACCUUAAAGAAACGAAAACAUUUGUUGUCUUGUUGAAAUACAAUAUGAGCUUCAACUCUUCAUUUCACAGAUGCACAUUCAUCUUCUUCAUUCUCGUUAUAAGUUUAAGAUUGAGUUGCUCUUCUCAAGUUGAUGAGGUAACAAGGUUACCUAAUCAGCCCAAAGUUGGAUUCAAACAAUAUGCUGGGUAUGUUU